GGAACGGAGGUUUCUUUGAUUGGGAUGACAUGGAGUAGUAGGUUAGAGCAGGAGCUAUGAUGGCUCUGAUUGAUGCAGUUUCUUAUAGUUCGCAAGCCUUUGCGGAGACUAUUUGGUGGUGUUUCAAACACAAUAACCACAGUAAAGCGAUGGAAAUCCUUGUGACCGAUACAAGCUUCGCUGGGUUGAAAAAAUUAAUGGACACAUUCACAGUUAAUGUAAAAAGGGCGGAGCGAAGGGAAUUGAAUGUGUCCUUGAUUCAGCCUACUACUACUGCAACAUCAACGUAUGAAAAAGUUAGGAGUGUGGCUGUAAGGAUUGAAUUGAGUAAUGGGUGUGUUGGGUGGGGUGAGGCUCCUAUUCUUCGUCCUUUAACUGCCGAGGAUCCCGCCCUGGCAAUGGAAAAGGUGGCAGAGGCAUGUGAGUUUCUGAACAGGAGUCCUGCUAUGACCUUGGGCUUAUUGGUGGGCGAGAUUGCUGGGAUUCUUCAUGGUUUUGAAUUUGCCGCGGCUAGGGCAGGGGUUGAGAUGGCUCUGAUUGAUGCAGUUGCACACAGCAUUGGCACACCUUUGUGGAGACUGUUCGGUGGAGUUUCCAACACAGUAACUACAGCCGUAACGAUUCCAAUGGUUUCUCCUUCACAAGCUGCUCAAUUGGCUUCAAACUAUGGCAAAAAUGGAUUCAAAACCUUGAAGCUCAAGGUGGGUAAGAAUUUGAAAGGAGACAUAGAAGUGCUCCAAGCGAUAAGAGCAGCCCACCCUGAUUGCUUGUUCAUUUUAGAUGCUAAUGAAGGUUACACCUCUACAGAAGCUAUCCAAGUUCUCGAGACACUGCAUGAAAUGAAGGUUACUCCAGUUCUCUUUGAACAGCCUGUUCGUCGGGAUGACUGGGAAGGUCUUGGUCGUGUUACUCGGAUUGCUAAAGAAAAAUAUGGGGUAUCUGUGGCCGCGGAUGAAAGUUGCCGUGUUCUAGCUGAUGUAGAGAAGAUAGUUAAAGGAAAUUUAGCUGAUGUCCUUAAUGUCAAGUUUGCCAAACAUGGGGUUAUUGGAGCCCUUAAAAUCAUCGAGUUGGCACAGGCAUAUGGAUUGCAUCUGAUGAUCGGUGGUAUGAUUGAGACUAGGCUUUCUAUGGGUUUCGCAGGUCACCUUGUCGCAGGGCUUGGAUGCUUCAAAUUCAUUGACCUAGAUGGACCACUACAUCUAUCUGAGGAUCCAGUUGUUAACGGUUAUGAAGUUUCUGGUCCGGUGUAUAAAUUCACAAAUGACAGCGGGAACGGAGGUUUCUUUGAUUGGGAUGACAUGGAGUAGUAGAAAUGGCUCGAUUGCCAUUAGCUAGGAAGAAGCAAACUGUUGCGGCAUGUGUUACCAUAUACACUGAGAUGAUGAAAAAGAUAAUGGAGGUUUUAAUAGAAAUUUUACAUAUAGUAGCUCAAUUAUGUGUCAAAAUACCUACACCAAUGAAUUAUCUUUUUGACAAAUCUGUUGAUGAUAGGAUUAGAGCAAGAUUCUUGAACAUAAAUUCUAUUAUUCAAAUUAGUGACCAAGUAUGUGUAGACAAUAUUAGAAUGGACCGGAAUUGCUUUGGCAAUUUGUGCGGGAUGCUUAGAGACAUUGGAGGAUUAAGGGGUAACAAAAAUAUGGAUAUGGAAGAAAUGGUUGCUUUGUUUCUUUACAUACUUGCACAUAAUAAAAAAAAUAGAACAAUGCAAGUAUUUUUUAGAAGUGGAGAAACUAUAUCACGUCAAUUUACUUCUGUUCUAAAUGCAACUCUUAAAUGUUAUAAUCAUCUUCUUAAGAAACCGGAACCGGUGUUUGCAAAUUGCCAAGACGAAAAUUGGAGUUGUUUUAAGGUAAAUAAAUGUAAUUUAAACAUAUUAGCUAGUUCACAUAUAUUAAACUUUGAUUAACUAGUAUAAUUUUGUAGAACUGCUUAGGUGCUUUAGAUGGAACACAUGUGAAAGUACGUGUCCGCGAAAAUGAAAAAGUUAGAUACAGAAACAGGAAAGGAGAGAUUUCCACUAAUGUUUUAGGUGUAUGCUCAAGAGAUUUGCAAUUUAUUUAUAUAUUGCCUGGCUGGGAGGGUUCUGCUCAUGAUAAUAGAGUACUUCGAGAUGCUCUUUCAAGAAGAAAUCCUUUAAAGGUUCCUCAAGGAUGUUAUUAUCUGUGUGAUGCUGGCUACAUGAAUUGUGAUGGAUUUAUGACCCCUUUUCGAGGUCAACGUUAUCAUUUGAAUGAAUGGAAAAAUGGCAGACAACCUACAACGGCAGAAGAAUUCUUUAAUAUGAAGCACUCUCGAGCAAGAAAUGUUAUUGAAAGGUGUUUUGGGAUGUUAAAACUCAGAUGGGGUAUUUUGAGAGAUACAACUUGGUAUCCAAUGAAAACAAAGUGUAGAAUUAUUUCAGCAUGUGCGUUAUUGCAUAAUUUUAUAAGAUCUAACAUGAGUAUAGACCCAAUAGAGCACAGAGUCUCAGAAAAUGGAGACAAUGGAGGGGGGCAAAAUGCAGAUUUUAUUCAACAUCUUGAGUCGAGCCCAGUUUGGACCAAUUUUAGACAACAAUUGGCCAAUGAAAUGUUUCUUGACUGGCAGAACUUGAGACAUAUAUGAUUAUUUCUAUCUUGCAUUGUUUUAGUUGUUUUUUCUUGUACUUUCUUUUGUUUUUUGGAUAUGUAUGCAUGACAUUAAUGUAUGUACAUUUAUUUGAUUGUGUUCUUUUCUUUAAAUAUAAUUUUGUCUGCUUUUUUAUUGCAUAUAAU